GGACUACUCGGGUAUCUAAUCCCGUUUGCUCCCCUGGCUUUCGCGCCUCAGCGUCAGAAAGGGUCCAGCAAGCCGCCUUCGCCACCGGAGUUCCUAUGGAUAUCAAUGCAUUUCACCGCUCCACCCAUAGUUCCGCUUGCCCCUACCCUCCUCGAGGCCGUCAGUCUCCGAGGCUCUUCUCCCGUUAAGCGGGAGGCUUUCACCCCGGACUUGACAGCCCGCCUACGCGCCCUUUAAGCCCAGUGAUUCCGAACAACGUUCGCACGGUUCGUCUUACCGCGGCUGCUGGCAC
rnacentral:rRNA from 1 species